GGACUCGAUCCCAGGACCCCAGGAUCAGGACCUGAGCCAAAGGCAGACGCUCAACUACUGAGCCACCAGGUGCCCCUGGUUUUAGCUUUAAGAGGGACUUCCCAUAAUAUCUAGAUAUGAUUUUUCUCUGAGGAAGUCAUUUGCUUCCUUUCUGAGUUUUGCCCCUUGUCAUCUGUUCCAUGUUUUUGGGCCACAGUUAUCAUUGCUAUCAUUCCUAAUAUAGUCACAACUAAAAUAUUCCUUUCUCCUGGUCCCACUUUUAAAAGCAAUUACAGGAAAUGUUUUUGGUUUUGGAUAUCUUCUUAGUUUUUCCUUUGUGAUUUAACCUUUGCAUGAAAUAAAAUUCACUCCUCCCAAAUCAAUGCAUGUUUCUUUCUUCAUUUUUAAAAAUUCUUUCUCCUACUAAUACUUUUCUUACUGUAUGAAUCAAAUCAAUUUCCAAAUUGAUUUCAUUCCUUCUAAAGUAAUAAUGAAGGAAUAAUAAUAAUAAAAUAUCUGAGCCCCUGGAGAUAGUCCUAUGGUUUAAAACUUUCCGAAAAUUCCCUUUUAACUUCAGGGCUACAGUAAUCACAGGGAUGUUUCCAUACUUCAAGCCAAGAUGGUAACAUAGCCUCCAUUCUAAGGGCCUCUGGGUCCUUAUCCUUCCUUCACCUUUAUGAGAUGCUUCGUAUGAAUCCACAAACAGGACCAAGACACUCGUGAUUAAAUAAUCCAAGGAGAAUUAAAAACCUACAGUAUUUAGAAGACGUAACUUCAGGAAUCUGCAGAGGAGACAAGGAAGCCAGCAGUCAUCCCUCAGUCUUGUUUUCCUUGAUGUGGGAUGAAGUUAAAAAUAAGACACAGAAGAACAGAAUUAGGAACAUAUGAUUUAUCAUUACCAAUCGAAGACAGGAUAAAAACAUUCACAGAGCAAAAUGCCAAGCACACCUGUUCUGUAUCCCCUCUGGAAUUCAGCUGAUUAAUACAGCUCAGCUUUAACAGUCUAAUUCCAGAAUCAGUGCUUAAAAUGCAGUUAUGUCAAUAAUAUUAGGUCCUGCAAACAACAAGUCAAGGAUGGCCAUGGUGGCUUCUCCAGGGUCUUCCUCUCUCAAGUUAUAUUUCUGCCCCUAAAUAUCACUUUGAAUUUCUACCCUAAGGAUCUUCCUGUGUCACGCAUAAUAUAUUGGAGGUUUGCAAAUCUAAGACUUCCCUCUGUGUUUAUCUGAUGGAGAAAAUAGGUGCAAUGAUGACUUGCCUAAAUAAGAUUUAAAAAUUAGAUUUACUCAGGGUUUUCUGAUGGAAAAUAGAUUGGAAUAAGAGGACUGACCUGAUUUAUAUCUCUACCUUCAUUUGCAGAAAGAGAAUUUGGAGGACAGGACACUCCGUGCCAAGAGAAGCAACUUCCCUUGCCUGCUGAUCCACAUUAGAGCAGGCAGGAGAAGAAAAAGAGAGUGGAGUGCUUUCAAAGACAGAGACCAUCUCAUGUGCCAUUUUUUAAAAUAAUAAAUUUAUUUUUUAUUGGUGUUCAAUUUGCCAACAUACAGAACAACACCCAGUGCCUUUUUUUUUAACUGCCUGUGACUCUUAGUACAACAGUAAGGAUGCCAUAAAAACAGAAAGAUAAUUUUUAAACUAAGUUGAGAAAAUGUAGAUUAUAAUUCUUAUAAACUCUAUAUUGCAACUUCCAGAAAUUUAGCUUCUAUAGUUUCUAAUGCACUCUCAUAGAAGGACCAUGAGGCAGAGAGGUAUUACUUACUUUACACCCAUCAUUUCUUCUGGAGACACAGAAAAGAACAAGUUUGUUACCAUAGGUCCAAGAACUAGACCCCUUCAGAUCCAAUUUGUUCUCUCAAAAUCUACAUGGUUAACUG
rnacentral:lncRNA from 1 species